rnacentral:rRNA from 1 species
GAGCGCACAGAAGGGAGCUUGCUCCCGGAAGUGAGCGGCGGAUGGGUGAGUAACACGUGGGCAACCUGCCUGAAAGUCGGGGAUAACUCCGGGAAACGGGAGCUAAUACCGGAUAAUCGCCUGCACCGCAUGGUGCAGGUGUGAAAGAUGGUUUCGGCCAUCACUUUCAGAUGGGCCCGCGGUGCAUUAGUUAGUUGGCGGGGCAACGGCCCACCAAGACCACGAUGCAUAGCCGACCUGAGAGGGUGAUCGGCCACAUUGGGACUGAGACACGGCCCAAACUCCUACGGGAGGCAGCAGUAGGGAAUCUUCCACAAUGGACGAAAGUCUGAUGGAGCAACGCCGCGUGAGCGAAGAAGGUUUUCGGAUCGUAAAGCUCUGUUGCCGGAGAAGAACGGACGGGAGAGGAAAUGCUCCUGUCGUGACGGUAUCCGGCCAGAAAGCCACGGCUAACUACGUGCCAGCAGCCGCGGUAAUACGUAGGUGGCAAGCGUUGUCCGGAAUUAUUGGGCGUAAAGCGCGCGCAGGCGGUUUCUUAAGUCUGAUGUGAAAUCUUGCGGCUCAACCGCAAGCGGCCAUUGGAAACUGGGAAGCUUGAGUACAGAAGAGGAGAGUAGAAUUCCACGUGUAGCGGUGAAAUGCGUAGAGAUGUGGAGGAAUACCGGUGGCGAAGGCGGCUCUCUGGUCUGUUACUGACGCUGAGGUGCGAAAGCGUGGGGGAGCAAACAGGAUUAGAUACCCUGGUAGUCCACGCUGUAAACGAUGAAUGCUAGGUGUUAGGGGGGUCCAACCCCUUAGUGCUGCAGUUAACACAUUAAGCAUUCCGCCUGGGAAGUACGACCGCAAGGUUGANCUCAAAGGAAUUGACGGGGGCCCGCACAAGCAGUGGAGCAUGUGGUUUAAUUCGAAGCAACGCGAAGAACCUUACCAGGUCUUGACAUCCUUCGACCGCCUGAGAGAUCAGGCUUUCCCCUUCGGGGGACGGAGUGACAGGUGGUGCAUGGUUGUCGUCAGCUCGUGUCGUGAGAUGUUGGGUUAAGUCCCGCAACGAGCGCAACCCUUGAUCCCAGUUGCCAGCAUUCAGUUGGGCACUCUGGGGUGACUGCCGGUGACAAACCGGAGGAAGGUGGGGAUGACGUCAAAUCAUCAUGCCCCUUAUGAUCUGGGCUACACACGUGCUACAAUGGGCGGUACAAAGGGCUGCGAGACCGCGAGGUCAAGCCAAUCCCAUAAAGCCGCCCCCAGUUCGGAUUGCAGGCUGCAACCCGCCUGCAUGAAGCCGGAAUUGCUAGUAAUCGCGGAUCAGCAUGCCGCGGUGAAUCCGUUCCCGGGCCUUGUACACACCGCCCGUCACACCACGAGAGUCGGUAACACCCGAAGUCGGUGCGGGAACCUUUAUGGA